rnacentral:rRNA from 1 species
CCUACGGGCGGCAGCAGUGAGGAAUAUUGGUCAAUGGGCGGGAGCCUGAACCAGCCAAGUCGCGUGAAGGAAGAAGGUACUUAGUAUUGUAAACUUCUUUUAUCAGGGAACAAAGGCGGAGACGCGUCUCCGGAUGAGUGUACCCGAAGAAAAAGCAUCGGCUAACUCCGUGCCAGCAGCCGCGGUAAUACGGAGGAUGCGAGCGUUAUCCGGAUUUAUUGGGUUUAAAGGGAGCGUAGAUGGGUUGUUAAGUCAGUUGUGAAAGUUUGCGGCUCAACCGUAAAAUUGCAGUUGAAACUGGCAGUCUUGAGUACAGUAGAGGUGGGCGGAAUUCGUGGUGUAGCGGUGAAAUGCUUAGAUAUCACGAAGAACUCCGAUUGCGAAGGCAGCUUACUGGACUGCAACUGACACUGAUGCUCGAAAGUGUGGGUAUCAAACAGGAUUAGAUACCCCGGUAGUC